rnacentral:rRNA from 1 species
CCUACGGGAGGCAGCAGUGAGGAAUAUUGGUCAAUGGACGGAAGUCUGAACCAGCCAUGCCGCGUGCAGGAAGACGGCUCUAUGAGUUGUAAACUGCUUUUGUACAAGGGUAAACCUGAAUACGUGUAUUCCGCUGAAAGUACUGUACGAAUAAGGAUCGGCUAACUCCGUGCCAGCAGCCGCGGUAAUACGGAGGAUCCAAGCGUUAUCCGGAUUUAUUGGGUUUAAAGGGUGCGUAGGCGGAUUGAUAAGUUAGAGGUGAAAUGUCCGAGCUUAACUCGGGAACUGCCUCUAAUACUGUUGAUCUAGAGAGUAGAUGCGGUAGGCGGAAUGUAUGGUGUAGCGGUGAAAUGCUUAGAGAUCAUACAGAACACCGAUUGCGAAGGCAGCUUGCCAAUCUAUAUCUGACGUUGAGGCACGAAAGCGUGGGGAGCAAACAGGAUUAGAUACCCUUGUAGUC